rnacentral:sRNA from 1 species
UUUAAAAUGUUAAAAACAGGAACUUUAGUUGUUAAAGAAAUCCAAAUCCGCUAGAUGUAACAAAGUGUUGAGAAAGCUUCUCCUAGAGUUAAGAGAAAAGAAAAGAAUGAUUAGAAAAAGGGCUUAAAAGAUUCAUGAAUGCAAAGGGUAGAGUUUAGUUCUUGUAUUGGGAUUGGAGAUGGGAUUACCAUUAGUGCUUCAUUUGAUGUACUCUGGGUAGAUGGGAUCUUAUCUCUGUAGGCAUAGCUUGGGACUUACCUUUAGCAUUCUACUAAAGCUUAAUCAUUUUUUGAGAGAUCCCCUGUUACUGAAGCCUAUUCUGUAAGGGACCAUCUUUGUCUCUUGACCUUUUACCUUAACCAAAUGAGUUCUUUGAUGAUGCAUUGCUUGAUUCACGUUCCAGAACUAAUGAAUGUUAAAGGGAUUGGUAGAUUUGAAAACUUGUGUAGGUCGAGCAUAUGAGUCGGAUUGAUUGAUUGAUGAGGCAUGGCUAACGUUUUUAAGUAGAAUUCGAUCUUGCAGCUUAGAACUUUUAACUUGGACAUUGAUUUCAUCUAGU